ensembl:lncRNA
AUUAUAGGGAUGUAAAAUCACACAACUGGGGGACCUGGUUACACAGCUUAUGUGAGCCUUUUGGUUCUGUGUUUGGUGCUGAAGCCUGAAAUCCUCAGAGAAAGCAUUUGGGAAAGAAAACUAUGAAGUGAAGAAAGCAAGGGCCUCUGAGCCACCAGUUUUCAUGAUGUGGUAAUUUCUAGGAGAAGCUGGUGUCCUUCAUCAGGGAGCUAAACACGUAUCUGGUCCAGGAGUUGGGGAGGUUGAAGACGCUGGAGGCCCGGCUUCUCUUCCAUCCCAACACAAGCCAGCAGAUGGGCUUGCCCUACCUUGCUGUGGGGAAGAAGAAAAGCAUGAUUCAGACCAUUACUGGUUGUAUCAUCUCAGUCUAGUGAUAACAACCUCUUUCCCCAAGCCUUAUAUAAAGUCCCAGGGAAAAGACUCUAAUUGGCUCAGCUUGGUGCACAGACACAUUUCUAGCCAAUCCCUGUGGCCAAGUAGAUGGAACUACGUUGGUCAAGUCUGGAUCUCAGGUUCAGCAGGCUGAAGACUGGUUUGGCAACCCAUGAAAUCUGCAAGAAGGGGUGGAUC